AUGCAUGUUUGGGAGAAUUCUGUUCCUGAGAAAUUGCGGAGCCAAUUCUUUCAAGCAACUAUUCAGGAUUGCAUCUUGCUCAACAUUGCGGAAAGUGAUAACUCUAACACAAGCUGGUAUCUGAAAAUCCCAAUCCUUCAUCAUUUCAAACCAUCGAUCUCGAUUCGAUACUCCAUCGUUCAAUUCUUUACUUCGAUUCCACUUUUCGCCGAUUUUGGAUUCGCUACGUUGUUCACUUCGCUUCGCACUUUCAUGUUCUUCUUCGGGUUCCAAUUCUCUCCUCAUCCGUGUGUAAACAGAUCUUGA